rnacentral:rRNA from 1 species
UGGGAACGUGCCUUUUGGUUCGGAACAACCCAGGGAAACUUGGGCUAAUACCGGAUAAGCCCUUACGGGGAAAGAUUUAUCGCCAAAAGAUCGGCCCGCGUCUGAUUAGCUAGUUGGUGUGGGUAAUGGCCCACCAAGGCGACGACGGGUAGCCGGCCUGAGAGGGUGACCGGCCACACUGGGACUGAGACACGGCCCAGACUCCUACGGGAGGCAG